AGGAUUUUGCCCUGGCCUUUGCACAGGAGACCUGGAAUAUUCUUCCUCCUCCAUCUAGAAUCUCCAGCUCCUUUCAAGGCUCUGCUCAGAAAUAAGAAAGACUUCCCGGAGACCUGUGGGACUGCUGACGAUCUCAUUUUCUUCAGAGGUGACACUUCCCAGACACGAAUUCAAAGUCCAGCUCUUUUGGCCAGUCGGACGUACUGGCGGUAAUCAGACUGUCCCGGGAAAAGGGGACAGCGCAAAACGGGACCCGAUUGGGAAUUUUCAAACUCAUCAAGGUAGUCACCAAGCCUAAAAAGAGUCAUGCAAGAUUGCAGUGGGAUCACGUGUGCUCAGAGAAGAUGACACAGAGCGAAGGAGCCAUCGAGAAACCUGAGGAGCAAUCUCAGGCCAGCCCAGACAAGCACAGGAACUCUGUCACAUGAGGAUAGCCUCCAGAGCUGCUGUUGUGGAGGGGGAGGCGGAGAAAGUUGACAGGCGUGCUGUCGGAAUCUCAAGUCACAUAUUUCAAAGAGGAAAGAACUAGAAUGAACCUAUUUUUUUUCCCUUUGAAAGCUUACUGAGUAGGUGGCCCUUCCUCUUCAGCAAUGGAUCAUCUUUGACACAACAUUCAGAGAUGGUGAAUCAGGAACCAAGAGCCUUUGGUCACGUGCAUGGAACCUGUCUGAAGGGACCAAGAUGUAAUUCGAUUCAAUUAAUUGAGCGUUUGGGCUCAUUUUUAUGGGCCUGGCAUUAGGGAGAUAGACCCAGAAAGAGUAUGGAAGGGGCAGCUAGGCAGUUCAGGGGGUAGUCCUGGAGUCAGGCGAACCUGAGUUCAGAAAUUGUUUCAGAGAUUUAAUAGUUAUGUGACCCUAGGCAAGUCACUUAAUUCUGAUUGGGAAGAAAGGGAAGGAGAGGAGAGGAGAGGAAGAAGUAAUGAAAGGAAGGCAUGAAAGGAAGAAAGAAAAGAAUGGCAGGCAGGCAGGAAGGAAGGAAGGAAGGAAGGAAGGAAGGAAGGAAGGAAGGAAGGAAGGAAGGAAGGAAGGAAGGAAGGAAGAACAUCCUCACAAGGACCCAGACUUAUCAUUUAUACAAAUGACUUGGCAAGGCAGUGUCAUGGUAC